CUGACAAGCUCUGCCCAUCGGCUCCAGGUGGCGCUCGCCCAGGUCCAUUCUAAGACACCGUGGGAGCAGCUCAGGACCUUGGGUAUUGCCACUGGGCUCACCUCCUGCUCCCAGUGCUUCCUCCUGCCAUCAGGUGGGUCCAGUCACACCUGGAGAGCUACAAGAAGCAGGAGUGCAGUGAGCUUUCUCUCCCUCAUCUUGUGACCUGAGCAUGCCUGCUGCACUCCUGGCUCGACACCCCUGGACCAGGUUCUUCAGUUACAGUGACCUCAUCUGCAACUGUGACCCCUCGAUUUCCCCUGGUGACAUCCUGGAUCCGCAUAUAUCCGUUUAUAAGGUCCUGCUUGGUAAUGCCCCCUCUCCUAACAAUAAAGUCUAUUUAAACCCUGAGCAAAAAUCCCUAUCCGCUCUGCCCUCCUCUGUGUUGACCGCAUUCUCAGAAGGCAGGUCCUCUCACGACGUCAAGAUGAACACUUACACCUCCCAGCUUCUGUCCUCACGGUGCUGCCAGGGGAAAUUCUUUUCCCCUUGUGGUUCCGACAAGUUUGCAUGAGGAAGCUCAUUGGACUGUUUGGAUCACAUGCUCAAGCCUGAACCAAUCACUGUGGCCAAGAGGAGGUAAUGCUGACUGGCCAGACCUGGGUCACAUGACUCCCCGGCCCGCUGCGAACCAGAGGAACCACCUGAAGCGGCUGCGCCCAGUCACCCGGGCUGAAGGUGGCGGAGCUGGGUUGCUCGUGGCUUUGCUUCAAGAAGCAGAGGCAGCAACCAGCCCCUCUGUUUCUUUUCAUCUUGUUUCAGCCACAAGGAAAUGAAUUCUGCCAACAAUCUGAGGGAGCUUGGAAGGUGAUCCUCCCCAAACUGGGCCUCCAGAUGAGAACCCAGCCCAGUUUCCCCCUUGAUUGAGCCUUGUUGAGACCCUGAGCUGAGAACCAGCUAAGCACUGCCUGGAGUUUCGGCCAAUGAAAAUGGGAACUGGAUUUGGAGGAUCAGCCAGAUUUAAACUAAGGCAGGUCACCUUUUGGGGAGAAGCAACUCCAUCUGGGAUAAAUCCAUCUUGUAAAAUUGUAACACUCUGGGAGCUGCAUUUCCUCUGCGAAGAGAGGUACCACAGACAGUGUGGCAGUGGAGUCCACCACCACAGAAGAAGUCUGACGACCUUGAGGUCACCAUGCCGCAGAAGCCACGUGGAGGCGCUCUGGGCCAAAGUUCCAGCAGUGUCCAGCCUUCCAGCCAUCCCUGCCAAGGCACCGGCCACAUGUGUGGAGCCAUACUUGACCCUCUAGAUCAGCCAUCUGCCAGCUGAAUGUCAUUGAAUGACCUCACCUGACACCAUAUGGAACAGAAGAAUCACCCAGUCGAGCCCUGCCUGAAUUCCUGACCCCUGGAAU